rnacentral:rRNA from 1 species
GACGAACGCUGGCGGCGUGCUUAACACAUGCAAGUCGAACGGAAAGGCCCUGCUUUUGUGGGGUGCUCGAGUGGCGAACGGGUGAGUAACACGUGAGUAACCUGCCCUUGACUUUGGGAUAACUUCAGGAAACUGGGGCUAAUACCGGAUAGGAGCUCCCGCUGCAUGGUGGGGGUUGGAAAGUUUCGGCGGUUGGGGAUGGACUCGCGGCUUAUCAGCUUGUUGGGGGGGUAGUGGCUUACCAAGGCUUUGACGGGUAGCCGGCCUGGGAGGGUGACCGGCGACAUGGGGACUGCGAUACGGCCCAGACGCCUACGGGAGGCAGCAGUGGGGAAUAUUGCAGAAUGGGCGGAAGCCUGAUGCAGCAACGCCGCGUGCGGGAUGACAGCCUUCGGGUUGUAAACCGCUUUCGCCUGUGACGAAGCGUGAGUGGCGGUAAUGGGUAAAGAAGCACCGGCUAACUACGUG